GGAGUUAGCCGGUGCUUCUUCUGUGAGUGAUGUCCUUCCUGCCGGCUAUUAACCCGCAGGCCUUCUUCCUCACUGAAAGUGCUUUACAACCCGAAGGCCUUCUUCACACACGCGGCAUGGCUGGAUCAGGGUUGCCCCCAUUGUCCAAUAUUCCCCACUGCUGCCUCCCGUAGGAGUCUGGGCCGUGUCUCAGUCCCAGUGUGGCUGAUCAUCCUCUCAGACCAGCUACGGAUCGUCGCCUUGGUGAGCCGUUACCUCACCAACCAGCUAAUCCGACAUAGGCUCAUCCGAUAGCGCGAGGCCCGAAGGUCCCCCGNUUUCCCCCGUAGGGCGUAUGCGGUAUUAGCCUGGGUUUCCCCAGGUUAUCCCCCACUACCGGGCAGAUUCCUAUGCAUUACUCACCCGUCCGCCGCUCGCCACCAGGGAGCAAGCUCCCCGUGCUGCCGCUCGACUUGCAUGUGUUAGGCUCGCCGCCACGCGUUCAUCUGAGCCAGAAUACGAACCCGUACGA
rnacentral:rRNA from 1 species